UUGCUUCUCGUUCUGAAGUGAAGUUUGCCAACCUGGAAGGUCUUUAAUAACGAUUUUCUGAUAAACAUACACUCACUGGUUCUCCUCUUGGCAGCUACAUUUUGAUUAAAUUCCUCUAUAUCUGUAUAUCAUGUAUGCAAAUGUAAUUACAAUCAGUUGAAGGGACACAAACAGUACAAAUUUGGGAAUUCAGUCAAAUCACUUUGACUUUGAAGAAGCUGUAUCCCCAGUACAAAUAAAUAGAACAGCUCAGGAAAUCCCAUGCUCGUGCCAAGGGGAUUUUGCCCCUGGCACAAAGCAGUGCCCACAAGUAGUGUUAUUACUGAGUUAUUGCCUGGGGUUUCCCAGCUGGAAUUGUCUGUGCUUAUACCUUAUAACUUAUGGGCAACCAGUCUGACUGCUCCAAGUAGCAUCACAGUCACUGCUCUGACUCCGUACAGAUGGGCUGUAUCCUAUCUUCAGGACAAGAGCCUUGAAGACUGUGCACUGGAGGUCUGAAGUUCACAUCCAGAGAAAAGAGAGCACGUCCAUGAAAAUGUGGCUGGAGGAUGCACAAGAUAACACCAGCAGGAAAGAGCAGCUCAGCCCCAGAAGACAAGUGCCUAAAUCUCAUGUUCCACAGGUGAGGCUCUACACAUCUUUCAUCAAGUGCUGGACAUGAUGAAAUAGUGCUUCAAGGGUGGGUGCAGCUGCAGUGAGAUUUGGUGGGAAUUAGUUCAACAGGACCUAAAUGGAACAGAUAAUGUUAAGAGAAAUGCUCUUGUUUUCAAGUGUACUCUUAGACCCCACUGACCCUAUCAAGUAGCACCUAUUGGCCCUUCUGCAGAAAUGCAAUAACCCCAAUCUUUGGUGGUACGUCCCAAAUAGGGUGACAGCCCCCAGAUCCCCAGAUGAGCAGGGGGAACCUGAAGAAUGCUUGAAGUUACAGGUUGGUCAGCAAAAAUAAUUGUCAGGUCUGGAAUUCCUCCUGUGCACCAUGGCACUUCUGGAUUCAUUCCCACUGACACUUGUGGUGCACAGUCAGUGCACUUGGAGAGGGCUGGGGUCCUGGUAAAUACAUAUGUACAUAAACAUAUGUAUAAUAUAUACAUAUAUUACUUUCUAUUAAACGUUGUUCUUUAAAUCCUCUUUUGUGUUCCCUAGACUCCUGCCCAGCAAGACUAUAUGGUAAUACAUCCCAUACAAGUUUCUUAAAAAGGAAUUAAAAAAUAAAUUUUUAUAAUUUCCUGUUUUGAAUUUCCCAGAAAGAACCAUUUGCAAAAUAAAGUAACUUUUGUGCAGCAUGAAAUUUUUAUUAACCUGAACAAAUGAAUACAAACUUCAGGUCAUGGUCCAAAUAGAGAAGAAGGAAGAAGAAAGGAAGGCCAGAGCUUACUAAAUGGUUGCCUAGGGCUUAUGAUUUUCUAGCUGCUUAAAACAUCAAAAGUGUGAGGCUGUUCCAUGGAGAAGGGAGAGACAUAUUUCAGGAUGGACCUGUAGACUUCAGAGAUGAAGUGUCAUGGUGAAUGGAAGGUAUUGCUAUACCAACAAACAGAAAAUAACAACCAAAAAAAAUUACAUAUGGAGUUUUGGGGGAGAAAAUAGGGGUGAGGGCUCAGGAAAGGAAGGAAAUAAUGCAUAAGAUCGUAUUUGAGCUUUCUGGACCAGCGUUUAUCACCUGCUCUCCAAUCUGAGCUACGGGCUAGCCAUUCUUCAACAGCCAAAAGCACAGAAACAUGGGCACUCCUCAUUUCUGACCUAUUGUUCUAGUAAUUUGAGACAAAGUUCAAGGGAGACCUAUAUAUGCUUCUCUAAGGAAAGUGAUAAAAGAGUGGUCAGCGUUAAGCUGUCUCUCUUUCCAAAUAUGUCCAUUGGCCCAAAUGGAGUCUGACCACCACAUCUGGAAAUGAACAUCUGAAAACCGAGCAGGAGAGGAAGGGGGAGCAGGAUGGGUAAAAACUCUUCCAUAAGGCUAUUUCAUUUCAACAAUGUCAAAAGAUUUUGUUUCAAAUGUCAUGUUGAUUCAUUUCAUUUUGACUUUUGUAUUAAAACACUAAUUGCAUUAUAUAUAAAUGUUGACAUUCUAUGAAUAUAUUAAUACAUUAAUAUUGCUGUAGAGUAUAACAGUCCGUACAAAAUGAAUGGAAAAGACAGUGCAUAUACCAGAUGUGUGAGUCCUGUCUAAAAUUAAACUUCUCAUGGCCUCAAACAUUUUCAGAUUUUCUUUCUGCCUUGUGUUUCAUCUGUUCCUUCUGUAUUGGACCAAACCAGACUGUCUGAGAAAGAGCUGCAAGAAAAACAAAGCUUACAGGUUGGCUUCUAGCAAGUCUACAGUAUCA
ensembl:lncRNA